UUGUGCAUUGCUUAUAUAAUAUAUUUAUUUCUUAUUCUUUGCUAGUUUUCAGGGGAGAUAUCUGAAAGCUUACAAAAGGAGACUAGUUUUCAGGAAGUAACCCAAGAGGUUCCGGAAACUGAAGAAGUUGUUAUAAAAGUUGAGGACCUUUGUAUAACUGCCAGAAUGACAGAUUGUGAGGAAGAUCAGCCAUCUUCUGCUAAUGGGAGUGGAGGAGAGUCACCGGACAAGGUGCAAGAAGUGUCUGAACCAUCAAGAGAGAAACUAGAGGAUAUUAUAGUACCUUCACUAGAAGUAGCAGACAUACAAGAAAGUGGAGAAACAUCUGCAGAGGCUGAGCAGUUACAAAAAUCAAUUGCUCCAGAGGAAAAAAUGCAGAAGAAAGACACACCCAAAGUGUUAGAAGAGGUGUCACCCUCAGACAUGAAUUUGGAAAUACAUGGAAAAGCAUUAAAAANGGCUAAAGCAGGUGAAAUUAAGAAACAUCUAGAGGAUCUGCCUGAGCAGCAGUCUGUGUCUGUGCUUUCAACUUGGACUACAAAAAUCAAAGAUACGGAUUACCCACUUAUUCAUGUGCUNUGUACAGCCUGUCCUAAAAGUGUGCUGCCUGUUGAUCUGCANCUUGUUUCUAGAGUACACCAUACUAUAGACAAAAAAGGUCAUAAUGUUUUAUUACCACCAUUUAAUCUCGGAUGCAACAAAUUAGAAGACCUCUUCCCAGCUACUGCUGCUCUUGAGAAACAGAU
rnacentral:lncRNA from 1 species